GAUCCUAUAUGCAGUGAUUUACAUGCAAGCAUAUAAAUCAUUUGGACACUUAUACAUGCAACUUUUGUGUUUGUCUUAUACUAACAAUAUUUAUAUUUUACAAUUAUAGGAGCAAAUGACAAGGGUGUGGGAUGAGUCUAUCGAGUCUGGAAUGUUGAUGAGACAAGAGGAUAUAUCAAAAGUGGUUCUUGGUAAGAAGAAGGGAUACUUGAGAGGAUUUGGGGUUGGACCAAAGCCUUCUUCUUGUGAUUCUGGGUUCUCUGCUGCAUCACAAGCAUGUGACGAGCAAUUGAAAAGGCUUACAUCCGAGUUGGAGAUACUGCGUGCGGAGCAGCAGAGCAACCGUGAGGAGAAACAAAAAAAAGAAGAGAAGCAACAAAUGAAAGAGGCAGAGAAUACAAGACAACGUGAGGAGAUGCAGCGGCAGCUUUUUGGACUUCAGAGCAUGUUGGCGCAAGUUUUGGAAAAUCGCAAUCCACCAAAUUCUCGACAAUAGAUAGUCAUGGUAAUUGAUGGAUGAACUCAUGCACAAAGCAAAAUUAUACAGAA